AUCCUGCCGACGAGUCCUAAAUAAGACGAAACACGGGUUCUGUAU
rfam:Schistosoma mansoni strain Puerto Rico chromosome 1, complete genome